UGGCUCAGGAUGAACGCUAGCUACAGGCUUAACACAUGCAAGUCGAGGGGAAACGACAUCGAAAGCUUGCUUUUGAUGGGCGUCGACCGGCGCACGGGUGAGUAACGCGUAUCCAACCUGCCCACCACUUGGGGAUAACCUUGCGAAAGUAAGACUAAUACCCAAUGAUAUCUCUAGAAGACAUCUGAAAGAGAUUAAAGAUUUAUCGGUGAUGGAUGGGGAUGCGUCUGAUUAGCUUGUUGGCGGGGUAACGGCCCACCAAGGCAACGAUCAGUAGGGGUUCUGAGAGGAAGGUCCCCCACAUUGGAACUGAGACACGGUCCAAACUCCUACGGGAGGCAGCAGUGAGGAAUAUUGGUCAAUGGACGAGAGUCUGAACCAGCCAAGUAGCGUGCAGGAUGACGGCCCUAUGGGUUGUAAACUGCUUUUAUAAGGGAAUAAAGUGAGUCUCGUGAGACUUUUUGCAUGUACCUUAUGAAUAAGGACCGGCUAAUUCCGUGCCAGCAGCCGCGGUAAUACGGAAGGUCCGGGCGUUAUCCGGAUUUAUUGGGUUUAAAGGGAGCGUAGGCCGGAGAUUAAGCGUGUUGUGAAAUGUAGACGCUCAACGUCUGCACUGCAGCGCGAACUGGUUUCCUUGAGUACGCACAAAGUGGGCGGAAUUCGUGGUGUAGCGGUGAAAUGCUUAGAUAUCACGAAGAACUCCGAUUGCGAAGGCAGCUCACUGGAGCGCAACUGACGCUGAAGCUCGAAAGUGCGGGUAUCGAACAGGAUUAGAUACCCUGGUAGUCCGCACGGUAAACGAUGGAUGCCCGCUGUUGGUCUGAAUAGGUCAGCGGCCAAGCGAAAGCAUUAAGCAUCCCACCUGGGGAGUACGCCGGCAACGGUGCAACUCAAAUGAAUUGACGGA
rnacentral:rRNA from 1 species